UCGGGAAUUUUGGGCAAUGGGCGAAAGCCUGACCCAGCAACGCCGCGUGAAGGAUGAAGUAUUUCGGUAUGUAAACUUCGAAAGAAUAGGAAGAAUAAAUGACGGUACUAUUUAUAAGGUCCGGCUAACUACGUGCCAGCAGCCGCGGUAAUACGUAGGGACCAAGCGUUGUUCGGAUUUACUGGGCGUAAAGGGCGCGUAGGCGGCAAUUCAAGUCACCUGUGAAAUCUCCGGGCUUAACUCGGAACGGUCAGAUGAUACUGCUUUGCUAGAGUGCAGAAGGGGCAAUCGGAAUUCUUGGUGUAGCGGUGAAAUGCGUAGAUAUCAAGAGGAACACCUGAGGUGAAGACGGGUUGCUGGGCUGACACUGACGCUGAGGCACGAAAGCGUGGGGAGCAAACAGGAUUAGAUACCCAGGUAGUCCCUGAGCGGGCUGGCAAGGCGCAU
rnacentral:rRNA from 1 species